AGUGGGGAAGAGCAAAGACAAAUUGGAACACAAGAGGACAAGCUGGAACCUGCUUCGGUCCCUUACUACCUGUAAGCUUCUAACUUCAGUGAUGCAAAUGACCUGCAGGAGAAACUAGUAUCCUUCAUUAUGAAGCUAAAUGUACACCUGACCUGGGAGUCGGAGCCGCUGUGGACCUGGCUGCUGCCUCUGCCUCCAAAGUGAGCCAACAAAUCAGUGACAACAUGUGUGAGCUGCAGCAGUACCUGGUGCCCUACACUGACCCUUCAAGUGUAAAAAGAAGAUGAAAAUGGCGACGGGAUUUUCAUAUUCAUAAACGUGCCCCAAGUGCCCAACACAUGGAAGAGGAAGAGACACCAGGAGUGCCAUGUGAGGACACAGCGAGAUGGUCAUCUGCAAGCCAGGAAGAGAGCUCUAACCAGAAACCCACCCUGCAGGCCUGUCGAUCUUGGGUUUCCUGCCUCCAGAAUGUUGAGAAAAUAAAUUCCUGUUAUUUAAG
rnacentral:lncRNA from 1 species